AGCGAACGUUUGCGGCGGGCCUAACACAUGCAAGUCGAACGAGAAUCUCUUCGGAGAGGAAAGUGGCGCACGGGUGCGUAACACGUGGAUAACCAACCCNGCUGUCGGGAUAACGCUGGGAAACUGGCGCUAAUACCGGGUGUGUCCGAGGUGUCAUCAGGCGCUUCGGAGAAAGACACGCAAGGGUCGCCAGGGGACGGGUCCGCGUCCCAUCAGCUAGUUGGUGAGGUAAUGGCUCACCAAGGCAAAGACGGGUAGCUGGUCUGAGAGGAUGAUCAGCCACACUGGAACUGAGACACGGUCCAGACUCCUACGGGAGGCAGCAGUGGGGAAUAUUGCGCAAUGGGCGGAAGCCUGACGCAGCCACGCCGCGUGAGCGAUGAAGGUCUUAGGAUCGUAAAGCUCUGUGGAGGGAGAAGAAGAAAGCCGGUGAAGAGCCGGCCUUGACGGUAUCCCUUUAGCAAGCACCGGCUAACUCCGUGCCAGCAGCCGCGGUAAUACGGAGGGUGCAAACGUUGCUCGGAAUCAUUGGGCGUAAAGCGCGCGUAGGCGGCGAGGCAAGUUGGAUGUGAAAGCCCUGGGCUCAACCCAGGAAGUGCAUCCAAAACUGCCUUGCUUGAAUCUCGGAGGGGUCAGGGAAUUCCCGGUGUAGAGGUG
rnacentral:rRNA from 1 species